AUUGAACGCUGGCGGCAGGCCUAACACAUGCAAGUCGAACGGUAACAGGAAGCAGCUUGCUGCUUUGCUGACGAGUGGCGGACGGGUGAGUAAUGUCUGGGAAACUGCCUGAUGGAGGGGGAUAACUACUGGAAACGGUAGCUAAUACCGCAUAAUGUCGCAAGACCAAAGAGGGGGACCUUCGGGCCUCUUGCCAUCGGAUGUGCCCAGAUGGGAUUAGCUAGUAGGUGGGGUAAAGGCUCACCUAGGCGACGAUCCCUAGCUGGUCUGAGAGGAUGACCAGCCACACUGGAACUGAGACACGGUCCAGACUCCUACGGGAGGCAGCAGUGGGGAAUAUUGCACAAUGGGGGCAAGCCUGAUGCAGCCAUGCCGCGUGUAUGAAGAAGGCCUUCGGGUUGUAAAGUACUUUCAGCGGGGAGGAAGGGAGUAAAGUUAAUACCUUUGCUCAUUGACGUUACCCGCAGAAGAAGCACCGGCUAACUCCGUG
rnacentral:rRNA from 1 species